AACACAUUCCGAGCUAUCCCUGCAUAUAUCGUUUUCCAAGACUAACAAACUGUUAAGACCAUAUUAAAACAGACAUGAAAACCGUAGAUGCAAGAUAACUCGAAAUGCACUAGAUAUAACAAUACAACAAUUUACAACAAUUGUGACAGGGUAUUCACUACAGCUUUUGGCCAAUUACUGUGAUCCCAUUAGACAACAAACAAAUUAUCUUAGACUAUACAAAAGCAUUUAGAUUGUCUCUUAAACAAUUAUCAUUUAAAAACAGCAUGCAAGAGGUUUAGUGAGAUCAUGAGUCUGAUUACACUUUAAACAAGUUGUUUUCCACGAACAAGGAUCAUCUAUGUUAUAGUUAAAUUGUAAACAGAGAG